rnacentral:miRNA from 1 species
AUGGGAUGCCUAGUUCAAUUUGAAUUUCAGAUAAACAAUGAAUUUUUUUUAGUGUGUGUCCUGUGCAAUAUUUGGGACAUACUUAUACUAAAAAUAUUAUGCAUUGCCCAUCUGAAAUUCAAAUUGAACUGGGCAUCCUGGAUUUU